GACGAACGCUGGCGGCGUGCUUAACACAUGCGAGUCGAACGGAAAGGCCCUGCUUUUGUGGGGUGCUCGAGUGGCGAACGGGUGAGUAACACGUGAGUAACCUGCCCUUGACUUUGGGAUAACUUCAGGAAACUGGGGCUAAUACCGGAUAGGAGCUCCUGCUGCAUGGUGGGGGUUGGAAAGUUUCGGCGGUUGGGGAUGGACUCGCGGCUUAUCAGCUUGUUGGUGGGGUAGUGGCUUACCAAGGCUUUGACGGGUAGCCGGCCUGAGAGGGUGACCGGCCACAUUGGGACUGAGAUACGGCCCAGACUCCUACGGGAGGCAGCAGUGGGGAAUAUUGCACAAUGGGCGGAAGCCGGAUGCAGCAACGCCGCGUGCGGGAGGACGGCCUUCGGGUUGGAAACCGCUUUCGCCUGUGACGAAGCGUGAGGGACGGUAAUGGGUAAAGAAGCACCGGCUAACUACGG
rnacentral:rRNA from 1 species